GAUGAACGCUAGCGAUAGGCUUAACACAUGCAAGUCGAGGGGCAGCACAAGGUAGCUUGCUAUCUGGGUGGCGACCGGCGCACGGGUGCGUAACGCGUAUGCAACUUGCCCUAUACAGGAGGAUAACCCGUCGAAAGACGGACUAAUACUGCGUAUGCUCACAACUUGGCAUCAAGUGGUGAGGAAAGAAAUUCGGUAUAGGAUAGGCAUGCGUCCCAUUAGCUUGUUGGUGAGGUAACGGCUCACCAAGGCAACGAUGGGUAGGGGAACUGAGAGGUUUAUCCCCCACACUGGUACUGAGACACGGACCAGACUCCUACGGGAGGCAGCAGUGAGGAAUAUUGGUCAAGGGGCGCGAGCCUGAACCAGCCAAGUCGCGUGAAGGAUGACUGUCCUAUGGAUUGUAAACUUCUUUUAUACGGGAAUAACAAGAGUCACGUGUGACUCCCUGCAUGUACCGUAUGAAUAAGCAUCGGCUAACUCCGUG
rnacentral:rRNA from 1 species